rnacentral:tRNA from 1 species
CGCGGGGUGGAGCAGUCUGGUAGCUCGUUGGGCUCAUAACCCAAAGGACGAAGGUUCAAAUCCUUCCCCCGCUA